rnacentral:rRNA from 1 species
AAAAUCCGCACCUCACAUAGCCUGAGACCUGAUAGUGACCGCAUCAGCGAGAAGCAGGGUGAUCCUAUGCUGCCAAGAAAAUCUUCUAGCGAGGUUCUAGCCGCCCGUACCCCAAACCGACUCAGGUGGUUAGGUAGAGAAUACCAAGGCGAUCGAGUGAAUCGUGGUUAAGGAAUUCGGCAAAAUACCCCCGUAACUUCGGGAGAAGGGGGGCCCAGAGGGUGAAGAAGACUUGCUCUUCUAGCCUGAACGGCCGCAGAGACCAGGGAGAAGCGACUGUUUACUAAAAACACAGGUCAGUGCCAAGUCGCAAGACGAUGUAUACGGACUGACGCCUGCCCGGUGCUGGAACGUUAAGGGGACCGGUUAGCCUCACGGCGAAGCUGAGAACUUAAGCGCCAGUAAACGGCGGUGGUAACUAUAACCAUCCUAAGGUAGCGAAAUUCCUUGUCGGGUAAGUUCCGACCUGCACGAAUGGCGUAACGACUUCUCCACUGUCUCAACCACGAACUCGGCGAAAUUGCACUACGAGUAAAGAUGCUCGUUACGCGCAGAAGGACGGAAAGACCCCGGGACCUUUACUACAGCUUGGUAUUGGUGUUCGGUACGGCUUGUGUAGGAUAGGUGGGAGACUGUGAAGCUGAUACGCCAGUAUCGGUGGAGUCAACGUUGAAAUACCACUCUGGUCGUUCUGGAUAUCUAACCUCGGUCCGUGAUCCGGAUCAGGGACAGUGCCUGGUGGGUAGUUUAACUGGGGCGGUUGCCUCCUAAAAGGUAACGGAGGCGCCCAAAGGUUCCCUCAGCCUGGUUGGCAAUCAGGUUUUGAGUGUAAGUGCACAAGGGAGCUUGACUGUGAGAGUGACAACUCGAACAGGGACGAAAGUCGGGACUAGUGAUCCGGCGGUGGCUUGUGGAAGCGCCGUCGCUCAACGGAUAAAAGGUACCCCGGGGAUAACAGGCUGAUCUUGCCCAAGAGUCCAUAUCGACGGCAUGGUUUGGCACCUCGAUGUCGGCUCGUCGCAUCCUGGGGCUGGAGUAGGUCCCAAGGGUUGGGCUGUUCGCCCAUUAAAGCGGUACGCGAGCUGGGUUUAGAACGUCGUGAGACAGUUCGGUCCCUAUCCUCUGCGCGCGCAGGAAACUUGAGAAGGGCUGUCCCUAGUACGAGAGGACCGGGAUGGACGAACCUCUGGUGUGUCAGUUGUUCUGCCAAGAGCACCGCUGAUUAGCUACGUUCGGAGGUGAUAACCGCUGAAAGCAUCUAAGCGGGAAGCAUGCUUCAAGAUGAGGUUUCCAUGGGGUUUACCCCGAGAGGCUCCCAGCUAGACUACUGGGUUGAUAGUCCGGAUGUGGAAGUGCGGUAACGCAUGGAGCUGACCGGUACUAAUAAGCCGAUAACUUGAU